AUUGAACGCUGGCGGCAUGCCUUACACAUGCAAGUCGAACGGCAGCACGGGGCAACCUGGUGGCGAGUGGCGAACGGGUGAGUAAUGCAUCGGAACGUACCUUUCAGUGGGGGAUAACGUAGCGAAAGUUACGCUAAUACCGCAUAUUCUGUGAGCUGGAAAGCAGGGGAUCGCAAGACCUUGCGCUGAUUGAUCGGCCGAUGUCAGAUUAGCUAGGUGGGUAGGUAAAGGCUCACCAAGGCGACGAUCUGUAGCGGGUCUGAGAGGCUGAUUCGCCACACUGGAACUGAGACACGGUCCAGACUCCUACGGGAGGCAGCAGUGGGGAAUUUUAGACAAUGGGGGCAACCCUGAUCCAGCCAUGCCGCGUGAGUGAAGAAGGCCUUCGGGUUGUAAAGCUCUUUCGGCCGGGAAGAAAUCGCACGGGCUAAUACCCUGUGUGGAUGACGGUACCGGAAUAAGAAGCACCGGCUAACUACGUGCCAGCCGCCGCAGUAAAAC
rnacentral:rRNA from 1 species